rnacentral:lncRNA from 1 species
GGAGUGGGUACGUAUCCUCGUAUACUCCCAAAAUCGAAAAAACAUCUUACCACGCUCUUGGUGUUUUUGACUUAUCAAAACAUCCUCACCCGUAAAAUCGGUGCGAGGUCUUCGGAAAUUAGUCAGCAGUUUAGGAGAAGCAACCUUUAGCAUCGCGAGAUGUCGCAAAAAAUGCCUCAAAGGUUAUUUCUUCCGAACAAACAAAACCUCCGUCACAAAAAGACAUAUAUAUGCACACAUUAACACUUAUUUUGCGCAAAAACUCGAAACAACAGCACGUACCACCAAGUCCGAUGCUGAUCACAUCGAACUCACAAACGUCCUAAACAGACAUAGCCAUCUCACGAAGAUGACUCUCUUACAUCUGACACAAGGAUAAUAGCGCUAUAAAAUAAAUCCGAAAUUUUGGUCCAGCACUUCCGGUCUCCGGAGAGAUGCUCGAUUCAUAUCAAACAAGUCGUAUAAGCCGAGAACCUAUCUCGGACUUUAAAUCGAUACGAAUCAGGAAGAAAUCGCAACAGGAAAAACGAUAGCCGGCUAGUCACCGCACAAUCCUUAAACCAAAAGUAAACCUAGGUCUUGCCCUAAACCCUGCGCACUGGUCUCUAACAUCUCAAGGCAUGAUAUCGAAAGAUAAGAGAUUCCUAAACCAUGCCUCUAUGUUUAUAUUUGACAUCUUCAGCGCCCCCACAGAGCUCACAUCUCGCGGAAGAACUCUCGAAACAGAUCUCGAAUGAAACAUUUCACAAUCGAAGAAGGAUAUGAGACGACAACUCAUCACCUUCCUCCCCACUAUACACAAACUCAUAAAAGUGCCAUUUGAUUAUCUUAUCAUAAACAGCCGCAGAGCGGCAGGGAUUCAAAGCCACACACGGCCAGUCCUGAAAUACAAAACAAGGCCAUUCAAGGCCGAAACAUAAAAACAUAAAAAAAAAAAAUUCUCGCAAGAGAUCUAACCCAAGUCAUCCUCAGAACUCCCCCCUCUUCACCCAACGCCUCGUCCGAGCCUGGAGCCGCAUCACCUCCGUUUUCUCCAACCAUCGGGUCUUUCCCCUCUGGGUCUUCUGAACACGUCGGAAGGAAGCAUGCGGAUUUCAGGUCAGCCAGGAUGAGAUCGAAAUCUCCAUCCACCGCCGCCAUAUCUCCCUUACAACCGGACAGUCGGGCCUCUUCGGCCUCCAAGGUCGGGGGAGUCUCACUUUGGAAUGACCAAACCACGGCCAUCCCGCCCUCAAUCGUCGCCAAAACUAGGUCCCUGCUCCGGAUACACUCGAGAGAACCCAGGGAAGCAGAAAUCUUCGCCAAGCGAGCCUGAAACUCUGCGCGAAGAGCAUCCGUGGCCUCUUGGAUCCCGCGGCUCGGCAGUCCAGCAUCACCCUCGAUCUGACGCUGAAGCUGACGCACCUCCGAGGAUUUGGCCUUCCUGGCCUUUUUCUCCUUAAGCAGGGAACUCGUCGUCUUUCCAAGAUCCCUCUCAAGCUCCCCUAUCACGACCUCGAGCCUCG